rnacentral:ncRNA from 10 species
AUCGUUCAUCUAUUCAAAUAGACGGAAGUACCUAUCAAGGGGAAGGAACGCACU